rnacentral:rRNA from 1 species
AUCGCGGAGAGUUUGAUCCUGGCUCAGAACGAACGCUGGCGGCGCGUCUUAAGCAUGCAAGUCGAGCGGGAUUGGGGAGCUUGCUCCCCAUGAGAGCGGCGGACUGGCGAGGAGCGCGUGGGCGACGCGCCCCCCGGACGGGAACAGCCCGUGGAAACACGGGGUAAUGCCGGAUGGCAUGCAGGGCUUGGAGGCCCUGCAUCAAAGGGGCUUCGGCCCCGCCGGGGGAGCGGCCCGCGUCCCAUCAGCUUGUUGGCGGAGCAAAAGCCCACCAAGGCGACGACGGGUGUCCGGCCUGAGAGGGCGACCGGACGCAUUGGGACUGAGAUACGGCCCAGACUCCUACGGGAGGCAGCAGCUAAGAAUAUUCCGCAAUGGGGGAAACCCUGACGGAGCGACGCCGCGUGGAUGAUGAAGGCCGGAUGGUUGUAAAAUCCUUUUGGGUACGAGGAAUAAGUAAAGUGAGAGAAACGCUUUAUGGUGACGGUA